CCCUUAAAUGUUCUGGGCCGCACACGCGCUACACUGAAGGAGGCAGCGUGUACUCCUGGAUCGAAAGAUUUGGGUAACCCGCGAAUCUCCUUCGUGCUAGGGAUUGAGGUUUGCAAUUAUCCUUCAUGAACGAGGAAUUCCCAGUAAGUGCAAGUCAUAAGCUUGCGCUGACUACGUCCCUGCCCUUUGUACACACCGCCCGUCGCUACUACCGAUUGAAUGAUUUAGUGAGGACUUCGGACUGGGACCGAUGCGGCUUUCGGGCUGCGUCGGUAUUCUGGAAAGAUGUCCAAACUGUAUCAUUUAGAGGAAGUAAAAGUCGUAACA
rnacentral:rRNA from 1 species